UACGUAGGGGGCAAGCGUUGUCCGGAAUUAUUGGGCGUAAAGCGCGCGCAGGCGGUUUCUUAAGUCUGAUGUGAAAGCCCCCGGCUCAACCGGGGAGGGUCAUUGGAAACUGGGAAACUUGAGUGCAGGAGAGAAGAGCGGAAUUCCACGUGUAGCGGUGAAAUGCGUAGAGAUGUGGAGGAACACCAGUGGCGAAGGCGGCUCUUUGGCCUGUAACUGACGCUGAGGCGCGAAAGCGUGGGGAGCAAACAGG
rnacentral:rRNA from 1 species